rnacentral:rRNA from 1 species
AACGAACGCUGGCGGCAUGCCUAACACAUGCAAGUCGAACGAGACCUUCGGGUCUAGUGGCGCACGGGUGCGUAACGCGUGGGAACCUGCCCUUAGGUUCGGAAUAACUCCCCGAAAGGGGUGCUAAUACCGGAUAAUGUCUUCGGACCAAAGAUUUAUCGCCUUUGGAUGGGCCCGCGUUGGAUUAGCUAGUUGGUAGGGUAAAAGCCUACCAAGGCGACGAUCCAUAGCUGGUCUGAGAGGAUGAUCAGCCACACUGGGACUGAGACACGGCCCAGACUCCUAGGGGAGGCAGCAGUGGGGAAUAUUGGACAAUGGGCGAAAGCCUGAUCCAGCAAUGCCGCGUGAGUGAUGAAGGCCUUAGGGUUGUAAAGCUCUUUUACCCGGGAUGAUAAUGACAGUACCGGGAGAAUAAGCUCCGGCUAACUCCGUG